CGUACAAUUUUUUUUUUGGUUCAAAAAUAUGAUUUUUAAUGUCAGAGGAUGAUUAGACUUUGUCAAUCGUUUGGUUUAAGGUUCUUAAAGAUGGUUUGCUAAAUGGAGCAGCUGUACUUGGGGUUCCUGUAAUAGCUACGAUCAAAGAGUAAAGGACUUGAAGUCACGGAUGACGUAUCUAUUGUGGAGCACCUGAAGCAUCCUGUAUACGUUACUGAAGGAUCUUAUACCAACAUCAAGGUCACAACCCCAGAUGAUUUAUUGCUUGCAGAGAGAAUAUUGAGUAUGAGCUCUGGAGAGUCUUCUUAGCCAGCCCUAACUGUCUGGCUUAAUUUUUGUAUUUUAUGUUUGUUCCAUUCUUUUAGCAACUUUGUUGUCUGUUUUGA